CGACCGCUCCCGAGCAGGGAGCCAAGGCCAGACGGACAGCCGGGUCGAAUGCCGA
ncrna:unclassified sequences Streptococcus sRNA SpF59 (ldcC RNA)